AUUGAACGCUGGCGGCAGGCCUAACACAUGCAAGUCGAACGGUAACAGGAAACAGCUUGCUGUUUCGCUGACGAGUGGCGGACGGGUGAGUAAUGUCUGGGAAACUGCCUGAUGGAGGGGGAUAACUACUGGAAACGGUAGCUAAUACCGCAUAACGUCGCAAGACCAAAGAGGGGGACCUUCGGGCCUCUUGCCAUCGGAUGUGCCCAGAUGGGAUUAGCUAGUAGGUGGGGUAACGGCUCACCUAGGCGACGAUUCCUAGCUGGUCUGAGGGGAUGACCAGCCACACUGGAACUGAGACACGGUCCAGACUCCUACGGGAGGCAGCAGUGGGGAAUAUUGCACAAUGGGCGCAAGCCUGAUGCAGCCAUGCCGCGUGUAUGAAGAAGGCCUUCGGGUUGUAAAGUACUUUCAGCGGGGAGGAAGGGAGUAAAGUUAAUACCUUUGCUCAUUGACGUUACCCGCAGAAGAAGCACCGGCUAACUCCGUGCCAGCAGCCGCCGUAA
rnacentral:rRNA from 1 species